rnacentral:rRNA from 1 species
UCCUCCCUCUUUCUUCGUGCUUAACACAUGCAAGUCGAACGGGAUUUAGUAAACGGAAGCCUCGGUGGAAGAUUACUACUGAGAGUGGCGAACGGGUGAGUAACGCGUGAGCAACCUGCCUAUGACAGUGGGAUAGCCUCGGUAAACCGGGAUUAAUACCGCAUAAAAUCGUAGAAACACAUGUUUCAACGGUCACAGAUUUAUCGGUCAUAGAUGGGCUCGCGUCUGCUUAGCUAGUUGGUGAGAUAACAGCCCACCAAGGCGGCGAUCAGUAGCCGGUCUGAGAGGAGGAACAGCCACAUUGGAACUGAGACACGGUCCAAACUCCUACGGGAGGCAGCAGUGGGGAAUAUUGCACAAUGGGGGAAACCCUGAUGCAGCGACGCCGCGUGAAUGAAGAAGGUAUUCGUAGUGUAAAGUUCUGUCCUAUGGGAAGAUAAUGACAGUACCAUAGAAGGAAGCUCCGGCUAAAUACGUG